rnacentral:rRNA from 1 species
CAGCAGCCGCGGUAAAACGAAGGGUGCAAGCGUUAAUCGGAAUUACUGGGCGUAAAGCGUGCGUAGGCGGUGAGUUAAGUCUGCUGUGAAAUCCCCGGGCUCAACCUGGGAAUGGCAGUGGAUACUGGCUCGCUAGAGUGUGUCAGAGGAUGGUGGAAUUCCCGGUGUAGCGGUGAAAUGCGUAGAGAUCGGGAGGAACAUCAGUGGCGAAGGCGGCCAUCUGGGACAACACUGACGCUGAGGCACGAAAGCGUGGGGAGCAAACAGGAUUAGAUACCCCAGUAGUCCCUGUCUCUUAUAC